UACGAGGGGGGCAAGCGUUGCUCGGAAUCACUGGGCGUAAAGCGCACGUAGGCGGACUCUUAAGUCAGGGGUGAAAUCCUGGAGCUCAACUCCAGAACUGCCUUUGAUACUGGGAGUCUUGAGUUCGGGAGAGGUGAGUGGAACUGCGAGUGUAGAGGUGAAAUUCGUAGAUAUUCGCAAGAACACCAGUGGCGAAGGCGGCUCACUGGCCCGAUACUGACGCUGAGGUGCGAAAGCGUGGGGAGCAAACAGG
rnacentral:rRNA from 1 species